UACGUAGGGUGCAAGUGUUAAUCGGAAUUACUGGGCGUAAAGCGUGCGCAGGCGGUUUGCUAAGACAGGUGUGAAAUCCCCGGGCUUAACCUGGGAACUGCGCUUGUGACUGGCGUGCUGGAGUGUGGCAGAGGGAGGUGGAAUUCCACGUGUAGCAGUGAAAUGCGUAGAGAUCGGGAAGAACAUCGGUGGCGAAGGCGGUCUGCUGGGCCGUUGCUGACGCUGAGGCGCGACAGCGUGGGGAGCAAACAGG
rnacentral:rRNA from 1 species